GCCUUGUAGCUCAGUCAGAAGAGCGUGAGACUCUUAAUCUAAGGCUGGUGGGUUCAAGCCUCAGGUUGGACA